GAACGGGAGGACUCAGGAAGAGGUGGUAGCUCUACUUAGGGCCACACCCAUGGGAGGAACAGUCAGUCUGCUAGUCCCACGCCAAGAGGACUCCCAUCUACCCAGAGAGGUGAAGACAGAAGAAGACGACCUAGUGCUAACUCCAGACGGCUCCAGGGAGUUCCUGACCUUUGAGAUCCCCUUGAGUGACUUGGGGUCGGGAGGUCUGGGGGUCAGCGUCUAGGGAAACCGCUCCAAGGAGAACCACGCUGACCUGGGCAUCUUCGUCAAGUCCAUCAUCAACUGAGGAGCAGCCUCCAAGGAUGGCCGACUGAGAGUCAACAACCAGCUGAUCGCCGUCAACGGCGAGUCGUUGCUAGGCAAGCCCAACUAGGACGCCAUGGAAACGCUGCGGCUGUUCAUGUCAAUGGAGGGCAACAAGCAAGGGAUGAUCCAACUCAUCGUUGCCAGAAGGGUAUCCAAGAGCGACAUGGUAAUGAACAGGACAGAAAGUGAAAAGUUGCACCAGUGUGAUACUAAAGUAAUUCCCUCUGAGUGUGUGUGCUCAGAGGGAAUUACAUACUAGAGAACUAAUUGGUGUUAUAUUGAAUAGGUUUUUUGUGUGUUUUUUUUUGGUACUUUUUACCCCCAAUUGGUAG